AUAGAUCGUGUGCGUAAGAUUAGCUAGUUGGUGAGUAACGGCUCACCAAGGCGACGAUCUUUAGGGGGCGUGAGAGCGUGAUCCCCCACACGGGUACUGAGACACGGACCCGACUCCUACGGGAGGCAGCAGUAAGGAAUAUUGGUCAAUGGAGGGAACUCUGAACCAGCCACGCCGCGUGGACGAUGAAGGCCCUAUGGGUUGUAAAGUUCUUUAGUCUGGGACGAAAAAAGGAGAUUUAUCUUCGACUGACGGUACCAGAAGAAUAAGCACCGGCUAACUCCGUGCCAGCAGCCGCGGUAAUACGGAGGGUGCAAGCGUUAUCCGGAAUCACUGGGUUUAAAGGGUGCGUAGGCGGUUUUAUAAGUCAGCGGUGAAAGCGGGUCGCUCAACGAUCCCAUUGCCGUUGAUACUGUUUAACUAGAAUUGGGACGAGGUAGCUAGAAUGUAACAUGUAGCGGUGAAAUGCUUAGAUAUGUUAUAGAACACCGAUUGCGAAGGCAGGCUACUGGACCUUGAUUGACGCUGAGGCACGAAAGCGUGGGUAGCGAACAGGAUUAGAUACCCUGGUAGUCCACGCCCUAAACGAUGCUAACUCGCUGUUGGGCUUAAAGUUCAGCGGCCAAGAGAAAUCGAUAAGUUAGCCACC
rnacentral:rRNA from 1 species